rnacentral:rRNA from 1 species
UACGUAGGGUGCGAGCGUUAAUCGGAAUUACUGGGCGUAAAGCGUGCGCAGGCGGUUCGUUAUGUCCGUUGUGAAAGCCCCGGGCUCAACCUGGGAAUGGCAAUGGAAACUGGCGAGCUAGAGUGUGGCAGAGGGGGGGUGGAAUUCCGCGUGUAGCAGUGAAAUGCGUAGAGAUGCGGAGGAACACCGAUGGCGAAGGCAGCCCCCCUGGGCUAGCACUGACGCUCAGGCACGAAAGCGUGGGGAGCAAACAGG